CGCGAUUUCAAGGUAUUUUUCAACACUAAAAGUCAAGCAUGUGAACAAUUCUUCUACGGAGGGUGUGAGGGAAAUGACAACAACUUCGAAACUUUGCAGAAAUGUCAGAGUAAAUGCGGCGGAUACAAAUUUGAUCCAAAAUGCCCAAGUGUUCAAAGAGAUCAAGCCGGAAUCUGCAUCUUUUCAUGCUCUUCUAACAGUGACUGCAAGCGGGAAGGUCAAAUCUGCUGUAGCAACGGAUGUGGUUCAACUUGUGUAUAUCCACUAUUGGAUAAACGUUGCCCCGCGCCAGAUCCAGAAAUUAUAAGAACACUUCAUGCUCGACGUUGCCUUCACCCAUCCUGCUUCUCUAAUGAUGUUUGCCAAAGGGGGAAUAUCUGUUGCAGUAACGGAUGUCAACAAAAUUGUAUAUCACCUCCAUUCACGGAUCCUAGAUGUCAAAUAGUUACGGAAAAGCC